GAUGAAGAACGUAGCGAAAUGCGAUAAGUAAUGUGAAUUGCAGAAUUCAGUGAAUCAUCGAAUCUUUGAACGCACCUUGCGCCCUUUGGCCAUUCCGAAGGGCAUGCCUGUUUGAGUAUCAUGAACACCUCAACUCUCAUGGCUCGCCAUGAUGAGCUUGGAUUUGGGGGUCUUGCUGGCCUGUGGUCGGCUCCUCUCAAAUGGAUCAGCUUGCCAGUGUUUGGUGGCAUCACAGGUGUGAUAACUAUCUGCGCUUGUGGUUUUCCAUCAGAUAACCUUCAGUGAUGGAGGUUCGCUGGAGCUCAUAAACGUCUCCCCUAAGCGGGGACAGCCCUUUGAAAGUUUGAUCUCAAAUCAGGUAGGACUACCCGCUGAACUUAAGCAUAUCAAUAAGCGGAGGA
rnacentral:misc_RNA from 1 species